AUUGAACGCUGGCGGCAGGCCUAACACAUGCAAGUCGAGCGGUUGACGGGAGCUUGCUCCCUGAUUCAGCGGCGGACGGGUGAGUAAUGCCUAGGGAUCUGCCUAUUAGUGGGGGACAACGUUUCGAAAGGAACGCUAAUACCGCAUACGUCCUACGGGAGAAAGCAGGGGACCUUCGGGCCUUGCGCUAAUAGAUGAGCCUAGGUCGGAUUAGCUUGUUGGUGAGGUAAUGGCUCACCAAGGCGACGAUCCGUAACUGGUCUGAGAGGAUGACCCGUAAAACUGGAGAUGAGACAACGACCAGAGUCGUACGGGAGGAAGCAGUGGGGAAUAUUGAACAAUGGGCGAAAGCCUUAUCCAGCCAUGAGGCGUGUGUAAAGAAGGUCUUCGGAUUGUAAAGCACUUUAAGUUGGGAGGAAGGGUUGUAGAUUAAUACUCUGCAAUUUUGACGUUACCGACAGAAUAAGCACCGGCUAACUCUGUGCCAGCAGCCGCGGUAACAC
rnacentral:rRNA from 1 species